GGGUAUAUAGCUCAGUGGUACAGUGCAUGCUUAGCAUGAGUGAGGUCCUGGGUUCAAUCCCCAGUACUUCCA
rnacentral:tRNA from 1 species